AUUGAACGCUGGCGGCAGGCUUAACACAUGCAAGUCGAGCGGGGGAAGGUAGCUUGCUACUGGACCUAGCGGCGGACGGGUGAGUAAUGCUUAGGAAUCUGCCUAUUAGUGGGGGACAACAUCUCGAAAGGGAUGCUAAUACCGCAUACGUCCUACGGGAGAAAGCAGGGGAUCUUCGGACCUUGCGCUAAUAGAUGAGCCUAAGUCGGAUUAGCUAGUUGGUGGGGUAAAGGCCUACCAAGGCGACGAUCUGUAGCGGGUCUGAGAGGAUGAUCCGCCACUCUGGGACUGAGACACGGCCCAGACUCCUACGGGAGGCAGCAGUGGGGAAUAUUGGACAAUGGGGGGAACCCUGAUCCAGCCAUGCCGCGUGUGUGAAGAAGGCCUUAUGGUUGUAAAGCACUUUAAGCGAGGAGGAGGCUACUUUAGUUAAUACCUAGAGAUAGUGGACGUUACUCGCAGAAUAAGCACCGGCUAACUCUGUGCCAGCAGCCGCGGUAAUACAGAGGGUGCGAGCGUUAAUCGGAUUUACUGGGCGUAAAGCGUGCGUAGGCGGCUUAUUAAGUCGGAUGUGAAAUCCCCGAGCUUAACUUGGGAAUUGCAUUCGAUACUGGUGAG
rnacentral:rRNA from 1 species